GAUGAACGCUGGCGGCGUGCCUAAUACAUGCAAGUCGAGCGAACAGAUGAGGAGCUUGCUCCUCUGACGUUAGCGGCGGACGGGUGAGUAACACGUGGAUAACCUACCUAUAAGACUGGGAUAACUUCGGGAAACUGGAGCUAAUACCGGAUAAUAUAUUGAACCGCAUGGUUCAAUAGUGAAAGACGGUUUUGCUGUCACUUAUAGAUGGAUCCGCACCGCAUUAGCUAGUUGGUAAGGUAACGGCUUACCAAGGCAACGAUGCGUAGCCGACCUGAGAGGGUGAUCGGCCACACUGGAACUGAGACACGGUCCAGACUCCUACGGGAGGCAGCAGUAGGGAAUCUUCCGCAAUGGGCGAAAGCCUGACGGAGCAACGCCGCGUGAGUGAUGAAGGUCUUCGGAUCGUAAAACUCUGUUAUUAGGGAAGAACAAAUGUGUAAGUAACUAUGCACGUCUUGACGGUACCUAAUCAGAAAGCCACGGCUAACUACGUG
rnacentral:rRNA from 1 species